rnacentral:rRNA from 1 species
AUUGAACGCUGGCGGCAGGCCUAACACAUGCAAGUCGAGCGGAUGAAGGGAGCUUGCUCCUGGCUUCAGCGGCGGACGGGUGAGUAAUGCCUAGGAAUCUGCCUGGUAGCGGUGGAUAACGUCCGGAAACGGGCGCUAAUACCGCAUACUUCCUGACGGUGAAAGUGGGGGAUCUUCGGACCUCUCGCUAUCAGAUGAGCCUAGGUCGGAUUUGAUAGUUGGUGGGGUAAAGGCCUACCAAGGCGACGAUCCGUAACUGGUCUGGGAGGAUGAUAAGUCACACUGGAACUGGGACACGGUCCAGACUCCUACGGGAGGCAGCAGUCGGGAAUAUUGGACAAUGGGCGAAAGCCUGAUCCAGCCAUGCCGCGUGUGUGAAGAAGGUCUUCGGAUUGUAAAGCACUUUAAGUUGGGAGGAAGGGCAGUAAGUUAAUACCUUGCUGUUUUGACGUUACCAACAGAAUAAGCACCGGCUAACUUCGUG